UUCUUGUAAUAUAAUCAUUAUACUGGUCUUGUAAACCAGAAAUGGGAGUCUAACCCCCAAGAAC
rnacentral:tRNA from 1 species